UUGAAGGAAAUUUUGAUUUAUCUCAGGAAGUGCUUGCAGUAAGAAUCCUGACUGCAAGAUAUUCGGCUCCUGAAUCCCGUUGGCUGUUGAUACAAAAUUCUGUGCGACGUUGCGAUAAGGAAAAGCAACGCCCACUCUACGGCCAUGGCGGAAACAACCAAAAAAACACCAUGGAGAGAUCAGGAAAAAGAUAAUCCAAAUAAGCCGAACUCGAUUUACGCUAUUGACACGGAUUUGAUCGCUAUGUAAACACUAUGAUAAAUACGACAUUUUGAGGACAUCCACAUUUUGAAAUCCAGCUUUUGAUUCAACGCAAAUCAAAUAAUGAAUGUAGUUCAAAAUAAAUAUAUAAUAACAUAAAA